rnacentral:snRNA from 1 species
GUAUUGCUUCGGCAAUACAUAUAUUAAAAUUGGAACGAUACAGAGAAGAUUAGCAUGGUCCCUGCGCAAAGAUGACGCAAAAUCGUGAAGCGUUCCACAUUUUU